AUUGAACGCUGGCGGCAUGCUUUACCCAUGCAAGUCGAACGGUAACAGGGAGCUUGCUCCGCUGACGAGUGGCGAACGGGUGAGUAAUGCGUCGGAACGUGCCGAGUAGUGGGGGAUAACGCAUCGAAAGGUGUGCUAAUACCGCAUACGUACUGAGGUAGAAAGUGGGGGACCUUCGGGCCUCACGCUAUUCGAGCGGCCGACGUCUGAUUAGCUAGUUGGUGAGGUAAAGGCUCACCAAGGCGACGAUCAGUAGCGGGUCUGAGAGGAUGAUCCGCCACGCUGGGACUGAGACACGGCCCAGACUCCUACGGGAGGCAGCAGUGGGGAAUUUUGGACAAUGGGCGCAAGCCUGAUCCAGCCAUGCCGCGUGUCUGAAGAAGGCCUUCGGGUUGUAAAGGACUUUUGUCCGGGAGCAAAUGCUGGUGGCUAACAUCCACCGGAGCUGAGAGUACCGGAAGAAUAAGCACCGGCUAACUACGUGCCAGCCGCCGCCGUAAAAC
rnacentral:rRNA from 1 species